rnacentral:tRNA from 1 species
AGGGAUAUCGCCAAGCGGUAAGGCAUCGCACUUUGACUGCGACAUUCGUAGGUUCAAAUCCUGCUAUCCCUGCCA